GUAGACAAGACUUGACUGAAAAUCCCAUCUGCAGUAGAUCUGUGAAAAUAAUGAUCCAGAAGCAUUUCCCUCUUUCCUCCCAUUGCUAUUCUAAAUGCUGUACCAACAGAGAAGAAACCUGAGGAUUUAAUUGCUCAUCAGAAGUCAGCUAAGCAUCCAGAGAGAGCCCUCUCCAGGACAAGUAUUAGAGGAUAAUACACAAGGACAAUGACUUCGACAAGGAUGGCAAGCUUUCUCCUCUUUGGACUUGGGGCCCAUCAGUGUCUUCCACCCAUAUUGGAAGUCCCACAAUGUCAAACACGAAUGUGUUCCUUCCUGCCUGAUGUAUGCACAGAGCUAAGAAGCUUUGGGUUCCUGCUCCGGAACACUGUCUCAAGAAUAUUAAUAGCUGCCUACACAUCUCCAAACAGAGUUGUUACAUCACUCAAUCUCUGCUAAGUUCUAAUCAGAACAUAGAUUGUGGUGCUGGAGGGUCCAUCAUAUGGCUCCUGCUCAAGUUUACUGUACAGAAAAUUGCCUGUCCUAAGAGACCUUUGCUGAACCUGCUCACAGCUCUUUCCAACAGUACCAAGACAGUACUAGGAUGAUUUAUGAUUUUAAAUAAAACUCUGUUGUUGAAACCUGAUGUUGCAGUACAUGUCUGUGCCAUAAAAGGUGCAUAUUUCUGUAGGGUUAGGGCAUCUUGGUGAGAUGUAAAGUGUUUUUGGAGAUGUCUUCAAAUAGACCCGGAAAGCUUUCUAAAAGCGGAGUGAAUGAGUCCACGGAGCAUAGAAUUAAUCAACUGACUACAAACCAUGUGUCACAGGUACUUCAGAAGGUCUGAAUCACAAAGCCCUUCCUGUUUCACCCCCUUCCCUGACAGUUGAAACGCCCACAGUGAUUUGCAUCUUUUAAUUACAGGCUCCAUAUAUAAUUGGGAGCGAGUGGGAGAUGGGUAGAGUUCUGUGGAUAGAUUGUAUAUGUACAUAAAGAUAACUUGUUUUUGUGAUGCCGAGGAGAAUUCUCUGCAAGAUA